AGCUUGGAAGCAGCUAUUCAUUCAAAGAGUGCGUAACAGCUCACUAGUCGAGCGACAGAGCGUGGAUAAUAAACGGGCAUCAAGCAUAUCACCGAAGUUCUGGGCGCGAGAGCGCGGUAGGGGAGCAUUCCAUUCAGCGUCGAAGCAGUUUCGUGAGGAAUUGUGGAGCGUAUGGAAAAGCAAAUGUAGGCAUGAGUAACGAUAAUGCGGGAGAGUAACCCGCACACCGCAAGACCAAGGUUUCCUGAUCAACGCUAAUCGGAUCAGGGUUAGUCGGGUCCUAAGGGUAAGCCGAACGGCGAUCUCGAUGGAUAAUCGGUUAAUAUUCCGAUACUAACAUAUACCUCGAUGGAGAGACGAAGGAACGUAAGUGCCGCCACCUGACGGAAUAGGUGGUUAAAGGGCGUAGAUAUAGGGGCAGAUUAAGAGUUAGUCCUUGCUGAAACCUGACAGUACAGAGAGCCUACGGGCAAUUUGAUAGAGCACCCAAGUCGACUUCCGAGAAAAUCUUCUAAGUUAUAGUAUAUGUUACCCGUACCGUAAACCGACACAGGUGGUCGAGGAGAGUAUCCUAAGGUGCUCGAGUGAAUCACGGUUAAGGAACUAGGCAAAUUAACCCCGUAACUUCGGGAAAAGGGGUCCCUAUGAAAGUAGGGCGCAGCGAAGAGGUCCAGGCGACUGUUUAUCAAAAACACAGGGCUCUGCAAAUUCGAAAGAAGACGUAUAGGGCCUGACACCUGCCCGGUGCUGGAAGGUUAAGAGGGGAUGUCAUCGCAAGAGAAGCAUUGAAUCGAAGCCCCAGUAAACGGCGGCCGUAACAAUAACGGUCCUAAGGUAGCGAAAUUCCUUGUCGGGUAAGUUCCGACCUGCACGAAUGGUGUAACGAUCUGGACACUGUCUCAACCGUGAGCUCGGUGAAAUUGUAGUCCCGGUGAUGAUGCCGGGUACCCGCAACGGGACGAAAAGACCCCGUGAACCUUUACUAUAGCUUAACGCUGAAUUUGGGUACACAAUGUGUAGGAUAGGCCGGAGGCUUUGAAGCGGGCACGCCAGUGUUCGUGGAGCCGACGUUGAAAUACGGCCCUUUGUGUAUUUGAGUUCUAACCCUGCGAAGGGGACACCGUUUGGUGGGUAGUUUGACUGGGGUGGUCGCCUCCAAAAGCGUAACGGAGGCUUCCCAAGGUACCCUCAGCACGAAUGGUAACCGUGCGCGGAGUGCAAUAGCAUAAGGGUGCUUGACUGUGAGACAUACAAGUCGACCAGGUACGAAAGUAGGGUAUAGUGAUCCGGUGGUUCUGCGUGGACUGGCCAUCGCUCAAAGGAUAAAAGGUACUCCGGGGAUAACAGGCUGAUCGCCGCCAAGAGCUCAUAUCGACGCGGCGGUUUGGCACCUCGAUGUCGGCUCGUCACAUCCUGGGGCUGGAGAAGGUCCCAAGGGUUCGGCUGUUCGCCGAUUAAAGUGGCACGCGAGCUGGGUUCAGAACGUCGUGAGACAGUUCGGUCUCUAUCUGUUGCGGGCGUAGGAAGAUUGAGGGGUCCUGACUUUAGUACGAGAGGACCGAGUUGGACGAACCUCCGGUGUAUCGGUUAUGCUGCCAAGUGUACUGCCGAGUAGCCGCGUUCGGUCUGGAUAAGCGCUGAAAGCAUCUAAGCGCGAAGCCAUCCCCAAGAUAAGUCUUCCCUUGAGGGGCGUAGGAGACUACUACGUUGAUAGGCUGCAGGUGUAAAGACAGCAAUGUCAAAGCCGAGCAGUACUAAUUACCCGAUAGGCUUUCUU
rnacentral:rRNA from 1 species